CAGUAGCCGCGGUAAUACGUAGGUCCCGAGCGUUGUCCGGAUUUAUUGGGCGUAAAGCGAGCGCAGGCGGUUAGGUAAGUCUGAAGUUAAAGGCUGUGGCUUAACCGGGGAGGGUCAUUGGAAACUGGGUAUCUUGAGUAUGGAAGAGGUGAGUGGAAUUCCGAGUGUAGAGGUGAAAUUCGUAGAUAUUCGGAGGAACACCAGUGGCGAAGGCGGCUCACUGGUCCAUUACUGACGCUGAGGUGCGAAAGCGUGGGGAGCAAACAGGAUUAGAUACCCCGGUAGUCCCUGUCUCUUAUAU
rnacentral:rRNA from 1 species